UCAGGUAUGGUGUAGUGGUAACACGGCCUCUCGCAGUAUUAUCAACUACAACCUGUUUAGAGGGCAGUCCAGGGUUCGAGUCCCUGUGCUUGAG